ensembl:misc_RNA Metazoa_SRP Metazoan signal recognition particle RNA
GCCGGGUGCGGUGGCCCCUGCCUGUAGUCCCAGCUACUUGGGAAGCUUGAGGCAGGAGAUGACUUGAGCCCAGGAGUUCUGGGCUGUAGUGUGCUAUACCAAUCGCGUGUCCACACUAAGUUCGGCAUCAAUAUAGUGACCUCCCAGGAACAGGGGACCACGAGGUUGCCUAAGGGAGGGGUGAACUGGCCAAGAUCGGAAAUGGAGCAGGUCAAAACUACCCUGCGGAUCAGUAGCAGGAUCGUGCCUGUGAAUAGCCACUGCACUCCAGGCUGGGUAACAGACCCUGUCUCUCU